GGGCUGGGGAGGCUGAAGCUGCUGGUCAGGAGCGGGGGUCGGGGGUGCGGCUCUAAUGGACACUCUGUGGAACUGGAGACUGAAUUUCCCUGAGUUUGUCCUGAGCUUUUAGGCAAGAAAAGGCCUGUUUGCACCUCUCACCUUGUGUCUGGUUUGUGGCUCUUGCUGCUGGUUCCAGCCUGUGGGGAGAGCCCUGACUUGGCUGGGGGGUAAGAUCCCAGGGCUGAGGGUGCUGGUUCUGAGCCUGCAGGAGGCAGGAUCUCCAAGAGCCUCCACCGCCUGCCCUUCAACUGAUGGGAUGCCCCCCCUUCCAUUUUCUGCACUGUGGGGUUCUCCCACAGCUUCUAUUGACUGAGCCCACAGUGUCAGAGAGGGAGACUCUCCCGCCCCGCCCCCCCAGAGCCUGCAGCCCCACCAAGCAGGGGGUGCUAGGAGCGAGUGCCCCUCCCCCAGCCCAGGCCCCUCCAGCCCCCGCCCAGCAGGGGGUGCUAGGAGCGAGUGCCCCUCCCCCAGCCCAGGCCCCUCCAGCCCCCACCCAGCAGGGGGUGCUAGGACUGAGUGCCCCUCCCCCCAGCCCAGGCCCCUCCAGCCCCCGCCCAGCAGGGGGUGCUAGGAGCGAGUGCCCCUCCCCCAGCCCAGGCCCCUCCAGCCCCCACCCAGCAGGGGGUCCUAGGAGUAAGUGCCCCUCCCCCCAGCCCAGGACCCUCCAGCCCCCGCCCAGCAGGGGGUGCUAGGAGCGAGUGCCCCUCCCCCAGCCCAGGCCCCUCCAGCCCCCACCCAGCAGGGGGUGCUAAGAGGGAGUGC